UUCUCCGUCCCACUGUGUAAUGAAUACAGCCUCGGUGAGAUAAACACUGCCUUGUUUAGCUUCAUGUCUGCCCGUGUAGCCCAGCCAGGCCUGAUAACACGGACCAUCGGAUGUUGUCAGGACCUGGGAGGCAGACACACUGGCAGCAAGGGUUUUUUUUUUUCUCCUUUCAAAGUCUACAAACUUUUUUUUUUUAAAGGGCUGGGCCAGUUAAUUGUAGAGUGUGAGUGAAAACUAUCAGUAGUACCAUCAAGGAAAGAGACACAGGGGGAAAUCUGGAAAGAAUGUGAACGGUUCUUUUUUUGUGCAGAAAAUUGUUUCUCCUGUGUUAACCGCCAGGGGUAGAGGCUGUCACUCUCUGUAUCGAACUUUCUGAUUCCAUUCCACUGAGAGGGCUGCUUUCAGACGCACUGUAUGGAUCCCGGCAGAUAAAAACACUAAGAGCUUCUUCUGCUUCUCUCACCAACACUUUGGAGUCGCAGAAUCCGAAAUGCAGCUCAUUGCAGAGCCCUGCUGAUAGCUCAAACAUACCAGAGGAUCAGCAAUCAAUAAUGAGAGCUAUGGUUUCUUUGCUGCCCCCCGGUUGAGAACCACUGGAGUACAGAGACCAACGUGAAACAGUUAAUUGCCAUCAAGAUAAAGAAACGCAGCAACAUCAAAAGCCCUGAGGGACUCUUAUAACCUAAACAGCACAAGUGCUCAGCACCAGCUCUACAGAGGCGGACACACUCCCCUGUCUCCCGGGGGACAGCGGAGACAUCAUCUCAUCACUGAACCGCAAGGCCAGUGCCAGGCCAACAACCAGGGAAAACAAACCCCAAUAUCGAGACCCCAUUCAAUUAGAGGAGACUUCAUUUCAUUGGAGGUGGUGAUGGAUGGGGCAGCCAGAUUUAUUCAUUUAUUUUAUUCAUCAGGGAAAGCCCUUUGAAGCUAGAGUGGGGAUAUUCAGAAUAUAAGAUUUCCACUUGAAGGACUUCAUAACACACAGAUUAAGGCAUUAGCUGGCGUUAAUUUGAUCAACCUGCACCCGCAGGGAUCAGCCAAACUGCUGGCUUACUGUACAGCAUUUUACAGCUGGGCCUGCUUGUCAUGACCAACAUGAGCAUCAAUAAUGAAAUAAAUAAAAUGUUUUAAAAAACAAAAGACCCAGGCGCUCAGAUGUGUCUUAAGGUUCCUGUUACAGAACAGUAGUCUACAUUAUCCAAGUUGUUUUCUACACCAGAUCCGCAAUAUAUACUGUACUCACACCUUUGUGCUCUGGAGGCAGAAUUUAGACAUGCGUUUUGGUAUCAGGGGUGCUGAAUCCACAGCCAGUAUCCUGAGGGAAGCCUGUGAUUUAUUGUAUUGAGGUCAUAUUUGAGUCUGAUUCAAACACACUCUACUUCAUUGGAAGAAACUUUAAAUAAAAAGGAUUUGAACUGGAUUGAAAAGAACGUAAUUAAUAAUUAUAAACAAAAGCUGGCCUUGGAAAAGACCACCUGAACACAUUACCGAAAUGAAUCUGAAACUGAUCAGAAAGGACAGGCCAAAUUACAAGACCAAAAAUAGAAAUGUAAAUAUAACUAGAAAUACUCCUGUGCUCAACGGUUUUCUCAUUUCCUCUGAGAAUCGACGGAAAAUUUCAAUGAUGAAAGCCCAGUAGGUCUGAAUAGCGAGGUCUUUCAAAAUCAUCUCAGAGCUCUCGUCUGAUACUAAUGAAAUGCUGACCAGCUUUCAUACCCUCAGACAUUUAAAACACAUGCUUAUUCCAAUUGAAGUGGCCAGUUCAAGGUAAGGAUAUCAAAUCAAAUUGACUUAGUGGGUUAGAUUCUCAAAGCUGAUUACUCCAAAAUGUCAUUAGCAUGAUAUUUUCAGAUAGUAAAAACACUAUCCAAUAAAAUGACCAAAUCAGGAAUUCUACAGUAUAUAUCAAUUGCUUUUUGCAGGUAGGUUUCUAAAUGCUGGUUGGCAUACGUUUCUAAACCUUGCAGUGGCAAAUCUCAAUAAAGUCAAUGAAAAGACUCAAAGUACCUCCACAGGCCUCAAUAAUUGCUGUUUUUCUUUUCAGACUAUUUACAGAGUUGCACUUAGUAAAGAGACACUUUAUGAGAAUGAUGUGUGUGUUUUAUUUAUUUUUUUUGCCAGGGAAGGGUAACACAGCAACACUGCGUAGAGUGAAGCGUGAUGUUUAGAAAUAGCUGUACCUAAGAGUGCUCUUGCUCUUAUUGUAUUACUUGUAUUGUAACGCUUGAAAUGUUUUUGCUUACGAUUGUAAGUCGCCCUGGAUAAGGGCGUCUGCUAAGAAAUAAAUAAUAAUAAUAAUAAUAAUAAGUGCAGAAACAUGUAACCCUUCUUGUCAUUUUGUGGGCAAAAUCAGUGACUACAAGCCCUCAAUAGUUUACAUUUAGACAUACUUAGCGUCUUGGCUUAUUAUACACCUAUGUGCUGUAAUGAAUGCCGAGUAAUGACAAGUCACAGCACUUACAAUGCAGGGCUGUAGUUACUGCUGCCUCCGUUUUUAUAUGUAAUUCCUGUGGCUCCACAAACACAGCCCAGCCCAUAACAGAGUCUCAAGAGGUUUUUUUUUGUAUUUCCUGUCUGAUUCGUUUGAAAGCCUGCAUGCUGUGCAGUGUGCUCCACAUUCCUAUUUUAUUGAAGUUUUUGCUGUUCUUUAUCUCAGUGCCGUGAUGCGUAAUAGGCCAGGCUGUCUCUCUGUCCACAAGCAGGCGCGGCCAGAGAUGGAGGAUGAUAAGAGCUUCCUUUGAAGGCUGUACAGCAGUCUGACAUUCAAUCGAGUGGUAUAAGCACUUUCUCAUAGCACUCUUACUGGGAGAGACGGCUGUAUAUUUCUUCCCUUCCUGUCACAUGGCUAUAUACUGUAUCCCUGCCUGCCACUACAGACUAUAUAUUUUUGUCGACAAUCAUGACACUUGACAUUAACAGAUUAUUUUAUUCCCUCUUUCAGUAAUAUAUGUCACUUGUGUUUCUCUAUAAAAGAUUCACCGCUCGCAUCCAGUUCAAGACUCUUGUACUAGCCUACAGAUGCCUUGACCAGACUGCACCCAGCUACCUCCAGACCCUCAUCUCUCCCUACACCCCCACUCGACCUCUCCGCUCCGCCUGCACUAGAAGACUGGCUCUACCUCCUCUACGCUCCCCUUCCUCCAGAGCCCGCUCCUUUUCCACCCUGGCCCCGCAGUGGUGGAAUGACCUUCCUACAGAUGUCAGGACUGCCCAGUCUCUGACCACAUUCCGGCGCCUCCUCAAGACUCACCUCUUCAGAAAGCACCUGUAGAACUCCUCUGUUCUUCGCCUGGAACACUUAUCACCCUUCCUUAAAUGCGCUUUACUUGCUCUUAUCUGCCCCCUAUUUUACUGCAUUUAAUCCUGUACGUCAGAGUACUGUAAUCUGCCAAGUGUUUAAUCUGUAGUAUUUUGUAUUUAAUCAUAUCCUGAUGUAACUAUCACUGACACUUAUCUGCUGUAUCAUUGAAUUGUAUUUUGUCACACUUGUACUUGCUUGAACCAAAGUCAUUGUAUUUAUCUUGCUCUUAAUUGUAUUAUUACUUGUACUGUGAUACUUGAAAUGUAUUUGCUUUCGAUUGUAAGUCGCCCUGGAUAAGGGCGUCUGCUAAGAAAUAAAU